rnacentral:rRNA from 1 species
GACGAACGCUGGCGGCGUGCUUAACACAUGCAAGUCGAACGGAAAGCCCCCUUCGGGGGGACUCGAGUGGCGGACGGGUGAGUAACACGUGGGUGAUCUGCCCUGCACUUUGGGAUAAGCCUGGGAAACUGGGUCUAAUACCGGAUAGGACUACGGCCUGCAUGGGUUGUGGUGGAAAGCUUUUGCGGUGUGGGAUGGGCCCGCGGCCUAUCAGCUUGUUGGUGGGGUGAUGGCCUACCAAGGCGACGACGGGUAGCCGGCCUGAGAGGGUGUCCGGCCACACUGGGACUGGGAUACGGCCCAGACUCCUACGGGAGGCAGCAGUGGGGAAUAUUGCACAAUGGGCGCAAGCCUGAUGCAGCGACGCCGCGUGAGGGAUGUCGGCCUUCGGGUUGUAAACCUCUUUCAGCAUCGACGAAGCGCAAGUGACGGUAGAUGCAGAAGAAGCACCGGCCAACUACGUGCCAGCCGCCGCGGUAAGAC